CAGUAGCCGCGGGAACACGAAGGGGGCUAGCGUUGCUCGGAAUUACUGGGCGUAAAGGGAGCGUAGGCGGACAUUUAAGUCAGGGGUGAAAUCCCGGGGCUCAACCUCGGAAUUGCCUUUGAUACUGGGUGUCUUGAGUAUGAGAGAGGUAUGUGGAACUCCGAGUGUAGAGGUGAAAUUCGUAGAUAUUCGGAAGAACACCAGUGGCGAAGGCGACAUACUGGCUCAUUACUGACGCUGAGGCUCGAAAGCGUGGGGAGCAAACAGGAUUAGAUACCCCCGUAGUCCCUGUCUCUUAUAU
rnacentral:rRNA from 1 species